CAAAACCUAACCAAAUUCACCCCCAAAUUCCUCUCAACUUAAGGAAGAUGACGAAGAAUACGCUAGGGUUCAAUUCAAGUCUUUAGUUCACCCUUCUUUGUGGGCUUUUAGCAGCAAGCGUCCGACGCUUCUACCCCUCACUCUUGUAGCUAGUUGAUCUCAUUGACGAAUCAAAGAUCAAGAGUUGGUGAAUCCUCAUAUUCCCAGGACUAUGACACUAUUAUUGCUUCCUUUAUUUCCAUUUCAGACUUUGUAUGUGAUAUAUGUGUUACGUCUCAAUCACUUUCCUUAUGAUGUAAUAGAUGACUUAUUGAGACUUAUGAUUAGACUUCCGCUUUGUCAAAACUCUUUUGUGAUAUAAAACUAUGUAUUUAAAUUCUUUAUUUC